UACGAAGGGGGCUAGCGUUGUUCGGAAUUACUGGGCGUAAAGGGCGCGUAGGCGGUGCCUCAAGUCAGGCGUGAAAGCCCCGGGCUCAACCUGGGAACUGCGCUUGAUACGGCAGAGCUAGAGGAUGGAAGAGGCUCGCGGAAUUCCCAGUGUAGAGGUGAAAUUCGUAGAUAUUGGGAAGAACACCGGUGGCGAAGGCGGCGAGCUGGUCCAUUACUGACGCUGAGGCGCGACAGCGUGGGGAGCAAACAGG
rnacentral:rRNA from 1 species